GAAAUUGCUGAUGCCAAAAGUCCUCGGAAGGGAGCUGAUGUGUCAGCUUCCAAACAAGAACUGUCUCAGGCACAACGUGACAAUAAUGAUGAUGGAGGUUCUGGUUCAGAUGCAUCCAUUGACACAUUGGAAGCAAGUAAAAUCAAAAGAAGAAAGCUAAGAAAACGUUCGAAAUCUAUCAGAAAGGAAGAGGAUGCCACAACUACGGCUGUUACUAUUAGCGAAGGCUUCUCCACUGCUGGCACCACUGAGUGGGCAUCAAAAGAGCUGCUUGAAUUUGUUAAGCAUAUGAAAAGUGGUGACACUUCUGUUCUUUCUCAAUUUGACGUGCAAGCUCUGUUGCUCGAAUAUAUCAAAACUAACAAACUGCGUGACCCUCGUCGUAAAAGUCAAAUUAUAUGUGAUUCAAGACUUGAAAGGCUAUUUGGAAAAGCACGUGUUGGGCACUUCGAGAUGUUAAAGCUACUUGAGUCUCAUUUUCUUAUGAAAGAGGAUUCUCAGAUUGAUGAUGUUCAAGGUAGUGUAGUUGAUACAGAAUUUAAUCAGUUUGAAGCUGAUGCAAAUGCUGACACUCCUACAAAGGGAGUUAAAGACAGGAAACGUAAACGCAAGAAAGGUGAAAUUAGGGGACCUCAAUCAAAUCUCGAUGAGUAUGCAGCUAUUGAUGUGCAUAACAUCAGCUUAAUUUACCUACGACGAAAAUUGGUGGAGGACCUUCUUGAAGAGAAUGAAAAAUUCCAUGAAAAAGUUGUUGGAACCUUUUUGAGAAUACGAAUUUCUGGUAACGUUCAGAAGCAAGACCUUUAUAGGCUGGUGCAAGUUGUAGGUACAAGCAAAGCCGCUGAACCAUACAAACUUGGCAAGAGGACAACUGAUAUUCAGCUGGAGAUCUUAAAUCUGAACAAGACAGAGGUUUUAUCAAUUGAUACAAUCUCAAAUCAAGAUUUCACGGAGGAAGAAUGCAAGCGUCUGCGCCAGAGUAUAAGAUGUGGACUCAUUAAUAGACCAACAGUGGGUGACAUUCUUGACAAGGCCAUGGAAAUACAUGCAGCAAGAGUUAAUGAGUGGCUGGAAUCAGAGAUAUCCCGUCUCAGUCAUCUUCGUGAUCGA
rnacentral:misc_RNA from 1 species